CAGUGGUGACGUAAAUUAUAGGCAAUCAGAUAGAAACAGUGUGGCGAAUCGUUCAACAGAGAUGGGCGACUAAGACCCUUGACAGCUAUUGAUGUUUUACAUCGUGUUAUUAGAUGUUUUGAUUAAUUUGCAUUCAUUAUCAAUUGUAUUUCUGUAGGAUUAUACUUUCUUUCUAACCAUGAAUUUUGAAAUACCAACAGGACUUACGGAUCUUUUACAAGACUUUACUGUUGCUGUUUUAAAAGAACGACCACCUAAUUUAAAACAGUUUGCUGCUGAUUAUUUUGCAAAACUAAAUGAACAGAACAAUGAAGAAGAAGAUGAUGACAAACCAAGGGGUGUCAGAUUUGCUGGUUCGCCAAACCCAGAACCAAUGCAGACUGAAGAUGAUGAGGAUUCUGAUGAACCAAUGGAACCACCAACCAGAGGGUUUACAAGAAGACAAUCUGUAUCUGCUGAACGAUAUGAUCCUGCUGAUGAUGAAGACUUAGACGAAAAAGUUGUAUAUCCAAAAACAGACGAACAGAGACAAAGAUUGAACGAAGCUGUCAAACACAUUUUAUUAUUUAGAUCAUUAGAACCAGAACAGAUGCAAGAGGUGUUAGAUGCCAUGUUUGAAAAGAAGGUACUACCAGAUGAACAUGUUAUUGACCAAGGUGAUGAUGGAGAUAACUUUUAUGUAAUAGACAGUGGGAAAUACGAUAUAUUUGUAAAUGGCAAUCUGGUAGGAAAUUAUGACACAAACGGAAGCUUUGGUGAAUUAGCAUUAAUGUACAAUAUGCCAAGAGCAGCCACAAUAGUUGCCACAACAGAAGGAACAUUAUGGGCAAUGGAUAGGCAGACAUUUAGGAGAAUAGUUUUGAAAACUGCAUUCAACAAAAGAAAGAUGUACGAGCAACUUAUUGAAGGUGUACCAGUAUUAAAAGCAUUAGAGAUUUAUGAAAGACAGAAUGUUGCAGAUGCCUUAUUUUCUAAAACAUUUGAAGAAGAUUCUUGUAUUAUAAAACAGGGUGAUGAUGCUGAUUGUAUGUACUUUAUAGAAGAUGGAGAGUGUCGAGUUACAGUUACUAAUAAGGCUGAUCCUAGUGGAGAAGAAGUUGAAGUUAAGAGAUAUAACAAAGGAGGCUAUUUUGGAGAACUUGCCUUAGUAACACAUAAACCAAGAGCUGCUAGUGUAUAUGCUGUAGGUAGAGUAAAGGUAGCUGUGCUAGAUGUACAGGCAUUUGAACGACUUUUAGGACCAUGUAUGGAAAUAAUGAAGAGAAAUAUAGAUGAAUAUGAGGAGCAGUUAGUUCAGGUAUUUGGUUCCAAAGCCAAUGUACAUGACCUGAGAUGAACUACAAGGGUGGAGGACCCUCAGUUAUUUCACUUUUAAGUUCCAUAAAAGGGAAUAUUCCCACUUUAUGAAAAUUCUUGAUUAGGUGUUAUGAUGGUUUUUUGGUGGUGCUGACAUUUUCAUUAAGAUUCAGAGAUAAUGUGGGAUUAUUUUUGGUAUUUUACAUGUACAUGUAUUUGAACUCCACAUUUUUUUUGCAUACGCAAUAGUAUCAUUGUAAUUUUAUUAUUUGAUAAAUGUGUUCCAAAUUUAGUCUCUCGUUAUAGAAACUGUUCUGACUCAUUGUAUUUGUCAUAUUUUUACUGUUGCAUAUCAUUUUAACCUGUUCAUUGUGCAACUCCGUGUCAGAAUAUAUUUGUCAAGUAAGCAGUACAGCUAUUUAAAAAGAACAUGCUUUCUUGCCAAUCUAGAGACAAAUGAUAUGACUUGAUAGCAUAUAUAAUUGAGUACCAAUUGGUGCUGUCAAUAUUUACAAAGUUACCAAACCUUACUAUAGACGUUUUGAAUGUAGAAAAUGUACUCAACCCGAAAAUGCAUUUGACAUUCAAGUGCACAAUGCAUCUGACUUACAGACCUACAAUGUAUAAUAGUCAUGACUAUAUAUUUAGAAAAUAAAACCUUUAUUAUAAUGUUUUUCUGUAUAAAUAUAAUUUUAGCUUGAUGCCCAACAUUUAUAGAAUGAGAUUGAGAUUUAUAGGCAAUAUUCAUCGAAAACUUGGGAUCGUAAAAAGGGAGGCAAAUCUGUCAUGUCAGUGGAGUAUGAACUGUGUGAAGUACAUAUAUAUUUACUUGUGAUCUCUUUCCAAUUGUAUUUUUGCUCACCAGACUGGAUUGGUCAAAGUUCAUACCAAAGGUGCUGUAAACAGAUCAGGAAUAAUUUGUAUUAGUGGCACUUAAAACCAAAUUGUAUUAUAGUACCAUUAAUUUAAACCUAGAAUGUAAAUCUAACCAGUGUGUUUAUUCAAAUAGGGUUGAGCUAUAUGAAUCUUUAUUAAAAACCAAAUGUGUAAAGUUUAUCCAUUUGUAACCAUUUGUUCAAUCUUUUUUCUUCCAAAACAUAUUCAGUUAUCACUGACGAUCAUCUAUCAGAUAAGCUUAAUGAGGUCCAUAUUAUGUCAUGUGUGUACUUUUAAAACACUAAGGACGUCAUUGUUUAUUGUAUCUGGUACCUUACAAUGAUGACUGGUUUCUGGAUAAAGGUGUGGAGAAAAGUGAUGGUUAAUGGUCUGACACAGAAUUAUACUGAUGACAUAAUCUAAUAAUACUAUCUUUAUCAUUGAUUUUAUUCAGCCCAUGAGGAUGUCAAACAUUAGUAUCAUUAUCUUUAGAUUUAAAUGAAGAUUGAUUCUUUCACGUCUCCUGAGAGGAAUCAUGGAAAUGCUUUGUUAUACCUUAUAAUUGAAUUCUUCUUGACUUUUCAGUUGUAUGAGAUGGUUGCAAUUAUAUUUUUCUUUUUAAUCUAUUAAUUUCUUCUCGACAGUUUUACGGGUUUUUAUUAUUUAUUUUGUUUGUCGGUCUUGCUUGGAAAGUUCCUUGAAAAUUGAAUACUCUUAAGAUAAGUUUUCUUAUAUAUGCCAAUUUUGAUUUUUGAAACAGUUAUUAGGAGUGGACAGAAGUAUGUUUAAUGAAUUUGUUCUUUCCAAAAAUUUCUUCCUGUUUCCAAAUAUUUUGUUUAAAGUACAUGUAUAUGUAAAAUAUGAGGAUAGUAUGAAGAGCUUAAGAGGAUGAUACUGAUGUAUUGUAUAAACAUGAAAUAAGUUGGGGAAUAUGCCAUGUUCUUUACUAAUUAUAUUUCUUGACAUAUUGUAAUAUAAUGUACUUGCUAAAUAAACUUGUUAUUUUUAUUGAAUAUUAUUAAGUUUAUUAUAGUUUUGUAUAUUUUUGUGUGACGGUCUUCAUAAAUUGUAAGACAUUCCAUUCCACAUGAUAUUUUUAGAUGAUCUUCAGAUUCAAUCAUCUUUAGACUGCCCCCUGGUAAAUAGUUGGAUGUGUUCUAGUCAUAAUUCAGUACAUUCAGAUAUUUUUUUUGAUUUUUUCACCUUUGAAACUUCUGGUACCUGUGAAUACGUAAGUAAAUGACUGCCUUUAUUUGUUGAAAUGACCUGAAAAACCAAAUUGAAGCUUGCCAUAAAAUUUUUGUUUCAUGUGAUGACUUCCGUUACUAGUGAAUGUGUGUGUUUGGUUUUCCUUUACAACAUGUUUUUACAAUCUGUUAUGAUUUUAAUGUAAGAGUUCAGAUAAAAAUAUUUUCUAGAAUGCCCAGUUGUUCAAUUAAAUUAACUAGUAUUGUAAAAAUUGGAAUAGGCUAGUACAAAGGUUCAUAAAAUUUAUAGUAGUGCAAAUAGUGAUUUGCAAAUGAAAAUUUACAUUGUCCAAUUAACAGAAAGGAGGAGGAAUUUAAAGAGUGGUUAUUUGGCCCUGCAAUUUUAAAAGUAAUGAAAUUCUACAAGACUUUCAAAAUUUGUUUAUUCAAAUGAUAAAUGAAAAGCUUGGAAUGAUCUUGACACUACAGUUUUAGGCAAAAUACUAAUGAGUCAAACCUUCACAAAAAAUGUUAAAUCUACUUUUAAGACCAUUGAAGAACUUUUUGGCCAAGUAUCUUUUUGAUGAGUUAACUAAAUCUUACAUUUUAUUUUGUUAGAAAAGCUUAAACUUAAAGGGAAGUCUUACUUUAUUAGCAAAAUUAUUUUUAUAUAUUCUUGUCUUAUAGGGAAGAAAAAUAUUAAUCACAGAUUGUCCCUCAGAAUUUGUAACCAUAGCAAUAUUCAAGGAAGGAUUUUUUUAUUUAUAUUUUUAGAGUCUGCCAUUAGGGUUCAGACUCUCCAAGCCUAAGAAAGUGCUGUAGAGUUAAAUAUUUACUAUAAAUAUGUUGAGUAUAAAUUAUUACUUUGUAGUGUAGAUUGUUAGUGCUGUAUUUGUAUUUCCCUCGUGCAAGGAAUUGCCAAUAGAACUAAAAAUGAUAUGCAUGAAUGUUAAUUUUUGCAUUCAUGUACAGGUAUUCAUCAUGCAGCAUGAUAGAUAGACACAUUCUCAUACAUGUACUUCUGUCUUUUAUACUUGAUUUGGUGUUACUAAAGAAAAAAAAUAUUUGAUUGGACCGUUCACUGAAAAAAUGAUGUCAUACCAUAAAAAUUAGUCAUAUUUUAGACUGAGUAUGAAAAUAUCACAAUGUUUUAUUUAAUUCAUGCAUGUUAUUUAAUGGUUUUGUAAAACAGAGUUGUGUGUUGGGAAAUAUGAAGAAAUGUUCCUUAAUUGAUUAAAGAUUUAAAAUACUCA